rnacentral:rRNA from 1 species
AGGCUUGUAUGAAUGGUUGGACAAAAAAUAAGCUGUCUCUGUUUUAUUUCUUGAAUUUAACUUUUAAGUGAAAAGGCUUAAAUGUUCUAGGGGGACGAUAAGACCCUAUAAAGCUUUACAGUGUGCUAAUUAAAUUAUAAAUUGUUAGUAUAAACUUGGUUUGGUUAGUAGCUGUUUCGUUGGGGCGACGAAAAUAUAAUUGAUAGUAACUGUUUUUCUUUUAUAAUAACAAUAAAUUUUUGGUAGAAAUUGAUCCUUUAUUAAAGAUUAAAAGAUUAAGUUACUUUAGGGAUAACAGCGUAAUCU